AAAGAGGCGCGUCCCAGUUCCGUCAUAUCCGCAGCGUUCAGGACCAGGAAUGUCACCUUCGCCUUAUCGUUGCUGUGGAGAACUGUUCCGAUCACCACGCCGUCGUCCUCAGCCUGAAGGAGAAUGAGAUGAGGACAAUGAGGCGACGGAGGUAGACGGGGCGGCCCACCACGCACUGCUGGCAACGCGCGACCUAGCAACGGCGGCACGCAACACGCGCCUCACUUCUGACCACAGGAACUGAAUCCAUGACGCCACCACCACCACCACCACCACUACCACCACCGCCGCCACCGCCGCCAACA